rnacentral:rRNA from 1 species
GCUCACAGGCAUCGGGUGUGCCGGCUUGGCGUGCGUGUGUUGUUGGUUGACGGGUUUGAUGUAGCGCUUGCGCCACGAAGGAGGGAGGGGCGUCGGUUUAGCUCUAGAGAGAGGGGGGGCGGGGAGAGGGUGGUGUGCGGCCGGCCGGCCGGCGCCGCUGCUGGGUGGUCUCCUUUGUACCGGAGCCGCGAGAGGAGGGAGGCGAUGCCGCUGUCGGAGAGCCACCACCGGUAGAGCCCGCGGUGCCGCCACGAGACGCUCCGGUAGAGGACCGAGGAGUAGAUGGCGUGGCGGUGGAUGUUGAGGGAGGCGCGGAGGUAGCUCGCGGUGAGGGCGUUCGAGCUGAGGUACUUCAGGCAGAGGAGCCCGUGGCCGCCGCGCCGGGGGAGGAGGGUCGGCCGGAGGAGCGCGCGGUUCUUCUACCUGGCGCAGCUCAGGUCGGAGUUCCUGCGGAGCGCCCUCGAGAGGGAGCGGUUCGAGUUCAGGCCGCGGCAGCAGCGGCGGCACGAGAAGCAGCAGAAGCCGGAGGAGUUGAGCGAGAAGCUCCCGGCGCGGCAGCGGUUCGACGGGAAGCGCGGGCAGGGCGAGCACGUCGCGUACUCGGUGGCGCCGGAGGGGCCCUUGCUGGGGUGGCUGACGCGGUACCAGAAGGAGAUGAAGGAGACGAGGUACUCGUAUGCCUGGUUGGAGGUCUUCGAGGAGCCGAAGUGCGGCGGGGCGCGGCGGCGGCCCCGGCCGCCACCGGAGAAGCGGUACGGGCUAGGGUUUUGGUUAACUCGAACUACUAGGGGAGAUAUGUAUGUACACUACGGGGACUACAGUUCGUUCGUAUACUCAACCAGAGGGUCUUUCUCAACGACAGGACUUUCCUUCUAUUUAUUGGAUGGAUCAGCGAGUCUCCUCUCUUUGUGACGUUCUGUGACAUUACUGUGUUAAGUAAAAAAGGUGGGUACUAUUCGUCCGUACUUGGCAUGCAUCCGACCGACAUAGUACUUGUAAGAACUCAACCGGGUUCGUUAGACAACAGCCCAAACAGCAUCUCAACAUAAAAUAGUAGUCAGAGUUUUAACAAAGAUAACACAGCAACGGUGCCUGCUUCAACGGCAACGAUCAAACGGGCACGUUGCGAACGAAGCAACAGACAGUGGACACGCCACGGUCAACUUCGCGGCCGAACAGAUAUGUAGAAAGUG